GUCUGGAAAGGCGCGCGAUACAGGGUGACAGCCCCGUACACAAAAGCGCAUGUGCUGUGAGCUCGAUGAGUAGGGCGGGACACGUGGUAUCCUGUCUGAAUAUGGGGGGACCAUCCUCCAAGGCUAAAUACUCCUGACUGACCGAUAGUGAACCAGUACCGUGAGGGAAAGGCGAAAAGAACCCCGGCGAGGGGAGUGAAAAAGAACCUGAAACCGUGUACGUACAAGCAGUGGGAGCACAGGUUUACCUGUGUGACUGCGUACCUUUUGUAUAAUGGGUCAGCGACUUAUAUUCUGUAGCAAGGUUAACCG
rnacentral:rRNA from 1 species